rnacentral:rRNA from 1 species
CGGACGGGUGAGUAAUGUCUGGGAAACUGCCUGAUGGAGGGGGAUAACUACUGGAAACGGUAGCUAAUACCGCAUAACGUCGCAAGACCAAAGAGGGGGACCUUCGGGCCUCUUGCCAUCGAUGUGCCCAGAUGGGAUUAGCUAGUAGGUGGGGUAACGGCUCACCUAGGCGACGAUCCCUAGCUGGUCUGAGAGGAUGACCAGCCACACUGGAACUGAGACACGGUCCAG